GGAUUGACCAUCUAAUGUAUUUUAGUCAAGAAGUAAUUGUGUGAAAGGGUGAAAAAGAGCAAUUAAGUGAAUUCAGCCACUUGAGCAGAACUUUUAAGCUUAUACAAUCACAUAUUCAAAAUUGUGAAGUCCUGAUUAUGUGACAGAUAACCGCCUUCUAUGACACCAUAUGAAUUGCAAGGGCUAGAUGUUUCCUACUUAUUGCUGAAACAGAAUGCAGCAACUUCCUUA
rnacentral:misc_RNA from 1 species